rnacentral:rRNA from 1 species
CCUACGGGCGGCAGCAGUGAGGAAUAUUGGUCAAUGGGCGAGAGCCUGAACCAGCCAAGUCGCGUGAGGGAGUACUGCCCUAUGGGUUGUAAACCUCUUUUGUCGGGGAGCAAAAGCCGGACGUGUCCGGCUGUGAGAGUACCCGAAGAAAAAGCAUCGGCUAACUCCGUGCCAGCAGCCGCGGUAAUACGGAGGAUGCGAGCGUUAUCCGGAUUUAUUGGGUUUAAAGGGUGCGCAGGCGGAUUUUUAAGUCAGCGGUAAAAUCGUGGGGCUCAACCCCAUCCAGCCGUUGAAACUGGGGAUCUAGAGUGUGCGAGAGGUAGGCGGAAUGCGUGGUGUAGCGGUGAAAUGCAUAGAUAUCACGCAGAACCCCGAUUGCGAAGGCAGCAUACCGGUGCACAACUGACGCUCAGGCACGAAAGCGUGGGUAUCGAACAGGAUUAGAUACCCUAGUAGUC